GAGUUUGAUCAUGGCUCAGAUUGAACGCUGGCGGCAGGCCUAACACAUGCAAGUCGAGCGGAUGACAGGAGCUUGCUCNUGAAUUCAGCGGCGGACGGGUGAGUAAUGCCUAGGAAUCUGCCUGGUAGUGGGGGACAACGUUUCGAAAGGAACGCUAAUACCGCAUACGUCCUACGGGAGAAAGCAGGGGACCUUCGGGCCUUGCGCUAUCAGAUGAGCCUAGGUCGGAUUAGCUAGUUGGUGAGGUAAUGGCUCACCAAGGCGACGAUCCGUAACUGGUCUGAGAGGAUGAUCAGUCACACUGGAACUGAGACACGGUCCAGACUCCUACGGGAGGCAGCAGUGGGGAAUAUUGGACAAUGGGCGAAAGCCUGAUCCAGCCAUGCCGCGUGUGUGAAGAAGG
rnacentral:rRNA from 1 species